UUGUUUUUUUUCAAUUGUAAAUUUUUAUUACUGAAAAUGUAGCAAGAUAACAAAUGUAAAGCAGGACAAGAUUUAAACCAACUGAAUUCCUCAAGUUUUCAUCUUCUAACUGCCUCAACAUACAAAAAAACUGACAUUAAAAAAAAAAUAAAUCAUUUCAUGCUAUCAACAUUUGAAAACUUAAAUGUGAUCCUUGAAGUUCAUUACAAAAGUAAAACUAUUCUAACACUUUUAAUGCAGCAUACAUCAUCACAUGACACAAAAAAAUCUUAAAAAUAGAUCUAUACAGUCAGCUAGCACAUUAUUUAUAUAAAACGUUUUAGAUAAAUGUGAACAAAUAAUACUUUUUUUAGACAAGUUUACAUAGAUCUAGUGACAUCACAAAUGAAUGAGAGCACACCAUAAUAUUCAUUCUCAUAAAGAUUUUAGUCACAACCUAUAGAAGAUGACACAAAGUCAAAAGUAGAGACUCAUCAAACUGCCCUAUAGGUUGAGCAUCUAUAAGCAGCUUAUUCUUAAACACACAGAUAGGAUAUUACCCUAGGCCUCUCGCAUUUCCAGGUCUACAAAAUAAGGGAAUCUCAGCUGUACUGUG